ACAGCUGGGCACUUGUAACAUGUGCUACAUGAACUGGAGUAAACUAUGUAUUUCUAGAGUACUAUUUCUAGCUGUGUAUGAUUAACGCAGAUUUUCUGCUCCUAGCAUUUCACAGCAAAAUUAAACCGACAAAGGAGGAAGUCAGGUGAUGUCAUUACAUCGAGACAAAUUACUUUGUCCCUUGAUUCAUCCCGUGAUGAAGACAGAGGAGCGCAGCGGCGGGCCACAUUUCAACGGUGACACGACUUGAAAAAUGAAAACCAGUCAGCGAAUGGGCAGCCAUCGCAGUCAGACAUCAGAGCGAAUGAGGAAGUGCAUCAGUAUCCAGCAGGAUGAAUAAAUCAACACUUUCCCCUGAAUUAAUCUCUCUCAAGUUGAAAUUUUAUUACGGAUGAGCUUGGACAUCACCAUGGUAACAGGAAUUCCACCGCCAUUCCCAAGUGGAUUCACGGCGACCGGCAUGCACGGACUGACAGCGUGACAUGGUGUACACCUGCAUAGAUGUACAAAAGUUUCAGCGACUGACAGCUCAAGUUUAGCAGCGUUGUUCCUCUUCAGUUGGCGGCGGCCAGACGCGGCAGAGUUGGCACAGCCAGAGUCGAAGUGCCAGGGGGAAUGGAGCGCCACAUGGCACGUUCAUGGCAGGGCCAGCUGGGGGGGAGGGAGACAGUGAGG